GACGAACGCUGGCGGCGUGCUUAACACAUGCCAGUCGAACGGUAAGGCCCUGCUUUUGUGGGUUGCUCGAGUGGCGAACGGGUGAGUAACACGUGAGUUACCUGCCCUUGACUUUUGUAUUACUUCAGGAAACUGGGGCUAAUACCGUAUAGGAGCUCCUGCUUCUUGGUGGGGGUUGGUAUGUUUCGGCGGUUGGGGAUGGACUCGCGGCUUAUCAGCUUGUUGGUGGGGUAGUGGCUUACCAAGGCUUUGACGGGUAGACGGCCUGAGAGGGUGACCGGCAACAUUGGGACUGAGAUAAGGCCCAGACUCCUACGGGAGGCAGCAGUGGGGAAUAUUGCAAAAUGGGCGGAAGCCUGAUGCAGCAACGCCGCGUGCGGGAUGACGGCCUUCGGGUUGUAAACCGCUUUCGCCUGUGACGAAGCGUGAGUGACGGUAAUGGGUAAAGAAGCACCGGCUAACUACGUG
rnacentral:rRNA from 1 species